UCCGAUGUGGUGUAACGGUUAGCAUCGCUCGCUUUCAAAUAUGAGCCGAGCAGAUCGGGGUUCGAUUCCCCGCAUCGGAG